rnacentral:rRNA from 1 species
GACGAGCGCUGGCGGCGUGCUUAACACAUGCAAGUCGAACGAAGAGCGAUGGAAGCUUGCUUCUAUCAAUCUUAGUGGCGAACGGGUGAGUAACGCGUAAUCAACCUGCCCUUCAGAGGGGGACAACAGUUGGAAACGACUGCUAAUACCGCAUACGAUCUAAUCUCGGCAUCGAGGAUAGAUGAAAGGUGGCCUCUACAUGUAAGCUAUCACUGAAGGAGGGGAUUGCGUCUGAUUAGCUAGUUGGAGGGGUAACGGCCCACCAAGGCGAUGAUCAGUAGCCGGUCUGAGAGGAUGAACGGCCACAUUGGGACUGAGACACGGCCCAGACUCCUACGGGAGGCAGCAGUGGGGAAUCUUCCGCAAUGGACGAAAGUCUGACGGAGCAACGCCGCGUGAGUGAUGACGGCCUUCGGGUUGUAAAGCUCUGUUAAUCGGGACGAAAGGCCUUCUUGCGAAUAGUGAGAAGGAUUGACGGUACCGGAAUAGAAAGCCACGGCUAACUACGUG